ensembl:lncRNA
AGUUAUGUUAAACUUUCCUAGCAGUCCUUCACAAACAGGGAACAGUCUGUCUAUUCUCUCCAUCUGUCAGCUGCUGCUGGCUCUUCCUCCUCCUCUUCCUCACACACUGCUGAGUUUGUCCUGGUGGAUCAUCAGGGCUGCAAAGCCUCACAGAUGAUGUGCAGCAGUGGGUCCCUCAGUCUGUCCUCACUCUGGACACUUGCAGUCGUCACACAUGGAAAUCAAAUGUGUGAUAAGCUGCAGGAUUCAAACACAAGUGUGACUUAUAAACACAUGUUCAUACUUUUAUUCCACAAUCAGAGAGAAAGAAACAGAGAGAGAGUGCAGGACAGACAGACAGGUGACAGUCUCAGGUGUACACACUGCUACAAACAGGAGGAUUUAGUGUUUGUGUUAUUACGAGUGUAAACAAGAAGAGUUCCAGAUGGUGCAGUGGACACAUGUGUGACUGCUGUGAUUAAAGCAUCUUUCUUUCAGCUUAACGAGUGAACCGUCAGCUCGUUCAAACACACGUUAAAGUCCGUUUGGCUCGACACCAGCGAACAGAGGCAGCAAUAUAACACAGCUAACAUUAACAGUGCAGUGGAUCCUGCUUGUGCCGUCAUAUUCAGGACUGCAAACCGAGCAGCAUCACUGACUUUCAGCCUGUUGUGUUUGUGGAUAUAUGACUGACUUUAAUUAUCCAUAAAUCAUCAGAUUCUCUGUAAGAUUAAAGUCAACUAUUGAACGGUGGAUAUUUUGAAGUAAAGGCUUUAAAACCAAGUUAGUACAAACGUCACUAAUGUCACAUAACUUUGCCGACAUGUGGCCAACAGCAAUGUUUUAAUUAGUGAUGGGACGUUCUGUAUCGAGGCUUUGAAGCUUGUGUCGAGUAAUGGAGGGGGCGUUUCCGCGAUGCGCGUAUCGAGGCUUGCUUCAUUUAUGGGAGGAGCUGAAAAUGAUGACGUCCGAAGCCUCGCUGCCCGGCUGUACCACGUGACUGGUUCAUGAAGUGGUUUGAACUUUGCCGCGAGAUAUGACAGCGAUAUAAACCCUCAGACUUCAUUCAAAAUGUGGGUGUUUGAUGGAGAGUUGUUAGUGAGAGUUUGGAGACAGUUUGGAGGUUUAUGAGAGUGAGGAGAGAAAGUCAGGAGAGAAUGGAGCCAGCUAAGAAGAGGAGGAUGUCCUCCCCUGUGUGGGAACAUUUUGAUCUUAUUCCUCCCAACAAGGUAUGUAAAUUUCUACAGAAGAUGUAUUUUCAUGAUACUGAUGGUGCAAUACAAUUUAUGUUGAGCUGUCUGUACUUUUGUACAAGGUGAAGUGUUUGCUAUGUGCCAGGCAGCUGGGAUAUAACAACACCUCAUCCAUGCUUAGGCACUACAGAGCUUUGCAUGAGAAUAAGGGGGACACCGAUUGUGGAGCAAGACCAGGAGAACAAUCUCCAAUAGAUGAAGACCUGGUUAGCAACAAUGCUAGUGCUAGCGGCGCUAACGGCUGCAGACAGGAAGAUACUGCCAGCACCGGAAACGUGCUCGUCAUCUCCGAGCAUGAAGUAAGGAGAGCCUUCAAGAGAGUGAACACCAGGAAAGCAGCAGGACCAGACGGCAUCCCAGGUCGUAUCCUCAGAGACUGCGCAUACCAGCUAGCUCCUGUGUUCACUGAGAUAUUCAACAUCUCUUUAUCUCAGUCGGUGAUCCCCACAUGCUUCAAAGAGUCCAUCAUUGUUCCUGUCCCGAAGAAACCCCACCCUGCUUCUCUCAAUGACUAUCGCCCUGUAGCCCUCACCUCAGUAGUGAUGAAGUGCUUUGAACGCCUGGUCAGAGACUUCAUCAUUUCUUCACUACCAGACACACUGGACCCACUACAGUUCGCUUACCGUCCAAAUCGUUCCACAGACGAUGCCAUCUCUCAUCUCCUCCACACAUCACUCACUCACUUGGACACUAGAAGGGGG